CAGCAGGCACGCAAUUACCCACUCCCGGCACGGGGAGGUAGUGACAAGAAAUAACGAUACGGGACUCAUCCGAGGCCCCGUAAUCGGAAUGAGUACACUUUAAAUCAUUUAACAAAAAUCUAUUGGAGGGAAAGUCUGGUGCCAGCAGCCGCGGUAACUCCAGCUCCAAUAGCGUAUAUUAAAGUUGUUGCGGUUAAAAAGCUCGUAGUUGGUUCUGUGUGCCAUGCUGUCGGUUCACCGCCUGCCGGUGUUACUGACAUGUCAUGGGACGUCCUGUCGGUGGUAAUUAAAGGCUUAUUGUUGUGGAGAGGCUUGCCUCUACUAUACAUAUAAGUACUUUAAUUGCCGAUUAAAUCCUGCCGCGGUGCUCUUUACUGAGUGUCGAGGUGGGCCGACACGUUUACUUUGAACAAAUUAAAGUGCUCAAAGCAGGCAAAAGUCUGCCUGAAUAGUAGUGCAUGGAAUAAUAGAAUAGGACCUUGGUUCUAUUUUGUUGGUUUUCUGAAUCCAAGGUAAUGAUCAAUAUGGACAGGCGGGGGCAUUCGUAUUGCGACGUUAGAGGUGAAAUUCUUGGAUCGUCGCAAGACGAACUAAAGCGAAAGCAUUUGCCAAGUAUGUCUUAAUUGAUCAAGAACGAAAGUUAGAGGUUCGAAGGCGAUCAGAUACCGCCCUAGUUCUAACCAUAAACGAUGCCAGCUAGCGAUCCGCCGAUGUUUUAUUCAUGACUCGACGGGCAGCUUCCGGGAAACCAAAGCUUUUGGGUUCCGGGGGAAGUAUGGUUGCAAAGCUGAAACUUAAAGGAAUUGACGGAAGGGCACUACCAGAAGUGGAGCCUGCGGCUUAAUUUGACUCAACACGUGAAACCUCACCAGGCCCAGACAUUGAAAGGAUUGACAGAUUGAUAGCUUCUUUCUUGGAUCCAGUGGGUAAGUGGUGCAUGGCC
rnacentral:rRNA from 1 species